GACGAACCGUGCAAACGUUAUUCGGAAUCACUGGGCUUAAAGGGCGCGUAGGCGGGCCGCCAGGUCCGGGGUGAAAGCCUCCAGCUCAACUGGAGAAGUGCCUUGGAUACCGGCGGCCUCGAGGGAGGUAGGGGCGUGCGGAACUUCGGGUGGAGCGGUGAAAUGCGUAGAUAUCCGAAGGAACACCGGUGGCGAAAGCGGCGCGCUGGAUCUCUUCUGACGCUGAGGCGCGAAAGCCAGGGGAGCAAACGGG
rnacentral:rRNA from 3 species